AUAAAAGUUUCGUCGCGAACGGCGGCGACCGGGAAGAUCAGCUUGAGCGGCGGCGAACCUUAUCGUUUCUGGUACAAUGUUUCGGAGGAACAGGUUCCUGUCUCUCCCAAUGGUGGUCGGAGCAGUUGUGAUUGGUGUGGUUUCAGGGAAAGCAAUAUUUGGGCCUCCGCUUGAUCAAUACUGGAAGGAGAAGCUUGAAGGUGAAGAAGCUGUUGCUGCAAAAGAAGCCAUUGAAAAGAGCUCUGAUUCUUCAUCAUCUCCCUAGUGAUUUUGGGAUGUUUAUGUAAAUCACAGACCAUGUCUAAGAAGAGCUCGGAUAUUAAUGUUUAUGCAAGGAAGCACAAUGUUGAUUUAUUGUAGGAGAGACAAUGCAUACAAACAAAAUGUAACAAUGUAGUAAGUUGCUUGUAUUUCACGUUUUCCAAACUCAAGGAGAAUAAUAAACCCUAAAGAAGCUUCCUCCUUCGUUA